rnacentral:tRNA from 1 species
GUGUAGUUCAGGGGCAGAGCACUUGUCUGGUAGGCAUGCAACCCUGGGUUCGAGUUCCAGCAC